GUGAAUCAUCGAAUCUUUGAACGCAAAUUGCACUCUCUUCGACGAGGAUGCCUGUUUGAGUGUCAGCCUAAAAAAAAUCGACAUAGUCGCUGUUUCGCUGUGACAUUCGUCGAACAUUGGGUCAUCUUAAACCUUUUGGUUUUAAACUGCUUAAAAUUUUCUUUACGAUUCCACGAACGUUUCUAAGAUAUUACUUCUUACACACGUUUAUGGUAUAGAUCUUUGUUAUACGUGACCGUUGCAUCGGAUAGCGUCCAU
rnacentral:misc_RNA from 1 species